rnacentral:misc_RNA from 1 species
GAUGAAGAACGUAGCGAAAUGCGAUAAGUAGUGUGAAUUGCAGACUUUAGUGAAUCAUCGAAUCUUUGAACGCACAUUGCGCCCCUUGGUAUUCCAUUGGGCAUGCCUGUUCGAGCGUCAUUUACACCCUCAAGCCUAGCUUGGUGUUGGGCGUUGUCCGCAAGGACUCGCCUCAAAUUCAUUGGCAGCGGCAUCGUCAGCUUCUCGCGCAGCACAUUGCGCUUCAGAAGGCUUCUGGCGGGCUCGCGUCCACUAAGAUGCCACCCAGUUUGACCUCGAAUCAGGUAGGGAUACCCGCUGAACUUAAGCAUAUCAAUAAGCGGAGGA